UUGCCCACUUUGGCAGCACAUAUACUAAAAUUGGAAGGGUACAGUGAUGAUUAGCAUGACUCCUGCACGAGGAUGACACACAUAUUUGUGAAGCAUCCACAAAUAAA